rnacentral:rRNA from 1 species
CAGCGGCGGACGGGUGAGUAACACGUGGGUAACCUGCCUGUAAGACUGGGAUAACUCCGGGAAACCGGGGCUAAUACCGGAUGCUUGAUUGAACCGCAUGGGGAGCUUAUAAAAGGUGGCUUUUAGCUACCACUUACUGAUGGACCCGCGGCGGAUUAGCUAGUUGGUGAGGUAACGGCUCACCAAGGCGACUAUGCGUAGCCGACCUGAAAGGGUGAUCGGCCACACUGGGACUGAGACACGGCCCAGACUCCUACGGGAGGCAGCAGUAUGGAAUCUUCCGCAAUGGACGAAAGUCUGACGGAGCAACGCCGCGUGAGUGAUGAAGGUUUUCGGAUCGUAAAACUCUGUUGUUAGGGAAGAACAACUUCCGUUCGAAUAGGGCGGUACCUUGACGGUACCUAACCAAAAAGCCACGGCUAACUACGUGCCAGCAGCCGCGGUAAUACGUAAGUGGCAAGCGUUGUCCGGAAUUAUUGGGCGUAAAGCGCGCGCAGGCGGU